GUUAUGGAUUAAAAACUGGUGGCCAAUUUAACACCAGCUGAAUUAAAUCAGCAUGGUGCUGAGUGUAGAUGUUUCACCUGAGGAAAGUUGCCAGCAUAAAUAGAGACUUGGAGAAGAUAAGUGAAGCAUUGUGGGUUUCUCUAAGUGUUGCUGUUUGAGCUGUUGGUUCUCCUGGAGGAGCUCAUCAUGACUAGCUUCCCCAGUGUGAGUUUGACCAUUAUCAUCAGAGGAGCUCGGGACCUUGUUGGUGAGAGUGGCUGUGGUUCAUUUAGGGGGAGCUCUGGUACUUACAUCGAGCUUCACUUCCUGGCUCUCUAGAGGGGAAGACGUGUGCCAUUUAAUCUCCAGGACAAACCCAUCAUGCUGGCUUUUUGGCAGGAGGCUUUUUCUCAACACCACUAGACAUUUCCAUGAAUUUACUUGGCAGUUAACUGCGUACAAGCCACAUGCUACGGUCAUCUCCUGUCUCUCAGUAAUCUAUCUACAAGGAAAACACCCAAGAGGACCACAACACAUUCUGAGGGACCUGCCACACUUCAAGCCAUGGAGUGAGCAGCUUUAUUCUGGCAAUCUCUUCUGCGUUGCCAUUUCUUCUGCGUUGCCAUGAAUGAAACCAUCUGGAACUAUAAGCCAAAUACACCUCGCCUCUGUUAAGUCACAAGUGUUAGAUAUUUGUCUCAGCAACAGAAAAACUAACUAAAUUAACCCUGUUGCAGACAAACUGGGCUGCUCUUCUUACU